UGGGGAAUAUUGGACAAUGGGCGAAAGCCUGAUCCAGCAAUGCCGCGUGAGUGAUGAAGGCCUUAGGGUUGUAAAGCUCUUUUACCCGGGAUGAUAAUGACAGUACCGGGAGAAUAAGCCCCGGCUAACUCCGUGCCAGCAGCCGCGGUAAUACGGGGGGGGCAAGCGUUGUUCGGAAUUACUGGGCGUAAAGGGCUCGUAGGCGGCCAACUAAGUCGGACGUGAAAUCCCUCGGCUCAACCGGGGAACUGCGUCCGAUACUGGAUGGCUCGAGUUCGGGAGAGGGAUGCGGAAUUCCAGGUGUAGCGGUGAAAUGCGUAGAUAUCUGGAGGAACACCGGUGGCGAAGGCGGCAUCCUGGACCGAUACUGACGCUGAGGAGCGAAAGCCAGGGGAGCAAA
rnacentral:rRNA from 1 species